ACGAAGGGUGCAAGCGUUAAUCGGAAUUACUGGGCGUAAAGCGUGCGUAGGCGGUUUCUUAAGUCUGCUGUGAAAUCCCCGGGCUCAACCUGGGAAUGGCAGUGGAUACUGGGAGGCUAGAGUGUGUCAGAGGGUGGUGGAAUUCCCGGUGUGGGGGUGAAAGGGGAGAGGUUGGGGGGAAACACCGGGGGGGAGGGCGGCCACCGGGAACACCAUGGAGGUGGGGCCAGGAAGGGUGGGGAGCAAACAG
rnacentral:rRNA from 1 species